rnacentral:rRNA from 1 species
UGCGUAGGGUGCAAGCGUUAAUCGGAAUUACUGGGCGUAAAGCGUGCGCAGGCGGUUUUGUAAGUCUGUCGUGAAAUCCCCCGGGCUCAACCUGGGAAUUGCGAUGGAGACUGCAAGGCUAGAAUCUGGCAGAGGGGGGUAGAAUUCCACGUGUAGCAGUGAAAUGCGUAGAGAUGUGGAGGAACACCGAUGGCGAAGGCAGCCCCCUGGGUCAAGAUUGACG